CGCUAAUUGUUAUAAUAUUCAUGUAAAAUUGAGAAGAAAAAAAAUGAAUGCGUUUUAUUACAAUAAUGGGAUGAUAUGAACAAUCUUUAUAUGAAAUGCGAUGUCCAUGACUUGAACAGCCACUUAAUUUUAUUACUUGCCAUCACCAAAGGAAACCAACUAAAAACUAGAACCCGAAUUGGUGAGUCUGAGUCUGAUCCAUGACAACGACGACGCGAGCUCCGGAUCCUGGUUUCUGGUUUGUAUUUCUAAGGAUGUCCAUUUCCUGGUCCUCCCCCAAAGUGUGCGCAUUCUUGAGGGCAUCCAUCGAUGCAAGUUUGGUACAAUUUACCCGGGGGCAACUUGCCUGCGGCUCUAGAGUCAUCGCAGGCAUCAUGGCACACUUUGAUGCAGUCGAAAGCCUUGGUCUCGGUAACAAGUGAUCCCAUCACCAGACAAACUACUAGCACACCAAUAACAACCAUCUUAUUAUCAUUGAAGGAACCCAUGUCGAUCGCUAAUAUUUUCAGCUUGUUUAAUUAAGU
rnacentral:lncRNA from 1 species